rnacentral:rRNA from 1 species
CAGUAGCCGCGGGAAUACGAAGGGGGCUAGCGUUGCUCGGAAUGACUGGGCGUAAAGGGCGCGUAGGCGGCAUACACAGUCAGGCGUGAAAUUCCUGGGCUCAACCUGGGGGCUGCGUUUGAUACGUGUAGGCUAGAGUGGGGAAGAGGGUUGUGGAAUUCCCAGUGUAGAGGUGAAAUUCGUAGAUAUUGGGAAGAACACCGGUGGCGAAGGCGGCAACCUGGUCCUUGACUGACGCUGAGGCGCGAAAGCGUGGGGAGCAAACAGGAUUAGAUACCCCCGUAGUCCCUGUCUCUUAUAC